GGAGGUGGCAACGCGUUGUUCGAAUUACUGGGCGAAAGGGCGCGUAGGCGAAAGGUCCGUCCGAUGAAAACGUGCUACCGCUCAACGGAGCAACGUCAUCGGAUACCACCUUUCUGGACGUCCGGGACGACGGUGAGCGGAAUUGCUGGUGACGCGGUGGAAUGACAGAUAUCAGCAAGAACACCUGUGGCGAAGGCGGCUCACUGGCCCGCGACUGACGCUGAGUGCGCUAAAGCGUGGGACGCAAACCGGAUUAGAUACCCCGGUAGUCCACGCCCUAAACGGUGGGCACUAGGUGUGGGAGGUAUCGACCCCUCCCGUGCCGCAGCCAACGCAUUAAGUGCCCCGCCUGGGGAGUACGGCCGCAAGGUUG
rnacentral:rRNA from 1 species